rnacentral:rRNA from 1 species
GACAGAGGUGCCAAGCGUUAGGCGGAAUCACUGGCUUAAAGCGUGUGUAGGCGGGCGAUCAAGUACCUUGUGAAAUCCCACGGCUCAACCGUGGAACUGCUGGGUAUACUGGUUGUCUUGAGCCAGCUAGGGGCGAGCGGAACAGACGGUGGAGCGGUGAAAUGCGUAGAUAUCGUCUGGAACGCCGAAGGUGAAAACAGCUCGCUGGGGCUGCGCUGACGCUGAGGCACGAAAGCCAGGGGAGCGAACGGG